GACGAACGCUGGCGGCGUGCUUAACACAUGCAAGUCGAACGGAAAGGCCCUGCUUUUGUGGGGUGCUCGAGUGGCGAACGGGUGAGUAACACGUGAGUAACCUGCCCUUGACUUUGGGAUAACUUCAGGAAACUGGGGCUAAUACCGGAUAGGAGCUCCUGCUGCAUGGUGGGGGUUGGAAAGUUUCGGCGGUUGGGGAUGGACUCGCGGCUUAUCAGCUUGUUGGUGGGGUAGUGGCUUACCAAGGCUUUGACGGGUAGCCGGCCUGAGAGGGUGACCGGCCAAAUGGGGAAUGGGAUACGGCCCAGACUCCUACGGGGGGCAGCAGGGGGGAAUAUUGCAAAAUGGGCGGAAGCCUGAUGCAGCAACGCCGGGGGCGGGAUGAGGGCCUUCGGGUUGUAAACCGCUUUCGCCUGGGACGAAGCGUGAGGGACGGUAAUGGGAAAAGAAGCACCGGCUAACUACGU
rnacentral:rRNA from 1 species